GACGAACGCUGGCGGCGUGCUUAACACAUGCAAGUCGAACGGGUCUGCCCUGUUUUUUGCGGGGUGGGUCAGUGGCGAACGGGUGAGUAACACGUGAGUAACCUGCCCCUCACUUCUGGAUAACCGCUUGAAAGGGUGGCUAAUACGGGGUGUUCUGGCUGUGCCGCAUGGUGCGGCUGGGAAAGAUUCACUUUUGUGGUGUUUUGGUGGGGGAUGGGCUCGCGGCCUAUCAGCUUGUUGGUGGGGUGAUGGCCUGCCAAGGCUUUGACGGGUAGCCGGCCUGAGGGGGUGGGCGGUCACACUGGGGAUGAGAUACGGCCCAGACUCCUGCGGGAGGCAGCAGUGGGGGGUAUUGCACAAUGGGCGGAAGCCUGAUGCAGCGACGUCGCGUGAGGGAUGGAGGCCUUCGGGUUGUGAACCUCUUUCGCCGGUGAGGAAGGUCCUGCUCUUUGUGGUGGGGUUGACGGUAGCCGGGUUAUGAAGCGCCGGCUAACUACGUG
rnacentral:rRNA from 1 species